rnacentral:rRNA from 1 species
GCAGGCAUUCGCUUGAAUACAUUAGCAUGGAAUAAUGAAAUAGGACGUUUGAUCUUAUUUUGUUGGUUUCUAAGAUCGACGUAAUGAUUAAUAGGGAUAGUUGGGGGCAUUAGUAUUCAAUUGUCAGAGGUAAAAUUCUUGGAUUUAUUGAAGACUAACUACUGCGAAAGCAUUUGCCAAGGAUGUUUUCAUCAAUCAAGAACGAAAGUUAGGGGAUCGAAGACGAUCAGAUACCGUCGUAGUCUUAACCAUAAACUAUGCCGACUAGGGAUCGGAUGAUGUUAAUUUUUAAUGACUCAUUCGGCGCCUUACGGGAAACCAAAGUGUUUGGGUUCCGGGGGGAGUAUGGUCGCAAGGCUGAAACUUAAAGGAAUUGACGGAAGGGCACCACCAGGGGUGGAGCCUGCG